rnacentral:rRNA from 1 species
GACGAACGCUGGCGGCGUGCCUAACACAUGCAAGUCGAGCGAUGAAACUUCCUUCGGGAAGUGGAUUAGCGGCGGACGGGUGAGUAACACGUGGGUAACCUGCCUCAAAGAGGGGGAUAGCCUCCCGAAAGGGAGAUUAAUACCGCAUAACAUUAUUUUAUGGCAUCAUAGAAUAAUCAAAGGAGUAAUCCGCUUUGAGAUGGACCCGCGGCGCAUUAGCUAGUUGGUGAGGUAAGGGCUCACCAAGGCGACGAUGCGUAGCCGACCUGAGAGGGUGAUCGGCCACAUUGGAACUGAGACACGGUCCAGACUCCUACGGGAGGCAGCAGUGGGGAAUAUUGCGCAAUGGGGGAAACCCUGACGCAGCAACGCCGCGUGAGUGAUGAAGGUUUUCGGAUCGUAAAACUCUGUCUUUAGGGACGAUAAUGACGGUACCUAAGGAGGAAGCCACGGCUAACUACGUGCCAGCCGCCGCAGUAA